CCUACGGGGGGCUGCAGUGGGGAAUAUUGCACAAUGGGCGCAAGCCUGAUGCAGCCAUGCCGCGUGUGUGAAGAAGGCCUUCGGGUUGUAAAGCACUUUCAGCGGGGAGGAAGGCGUUAAGGUUAAUAACCUUGGCGAUUGACGUUACCCGCAGAAGAAGCACCGGCUAACUCCGUGCCAGCAGCCGCGGUAAUACGGAGGGUGCAAGCGUUAAUCGGAAUUACUGGGCGUAAAGCGCACGCAGGCGGUCUGUCAAGUCGGAUGUGAAAUCCCCGGGCUCAACCUGGGAACUGCAUUCGAAACUGGCAGGCUAGAGUCUUGUAGAGGGGGGUAGAAUUCCAGGUGUAGCGGUGAAAUGCGUAGAGAUCUGGAGGAAUACCGGUGGCGAAGGCGGCCCCCUGGACAAAGACUGACGCUCAGGUGCGAAAGCGUGGGGAGCAAACAGGGUUAGAUACCCGAGUAGUC
rnacentral:rRNA from 1 species